rnacentral:rRNA from 1 species
GAUGAACGCUGGCGGCGUGCCUAAUACAUGCAAGUCGAGCGAACAGACGAGGAGCUUGCUCCUCUGACGUUAGCGGCGGACGGGUGAGUAACACGUGGAUAACCUACCUAUAAGACUGGGAUAACUUCGGGAAACCGGAGCUAAUACCGGAUAAUAUAUUGAACCGCAUGGUUCAAUAGUGAAAGACGGUUUUGCUGUCACUUAUAGAUGGAUCCGCGCCGCAUUAGCUAGUUGGUAAGGUAACGGCUUACCAAGGCGACGAUGCGUAGCCGACCUGAGAGGGUGAUCGGCCACACUGGAACUGAGACACGGUCCAGACUCCUACGGGAGGCAGCAGUAGGGAAUCUUCCGCAAGGGGCGAAAGCCUGACGGAGCAACGCCGCGUGAGUGAUGAAGGUCUUCGGAUCGUAAAACUCUGUUAUUAGGGAAGAACAAAUGUGUAAGUAACUAUGCACGUCUUGACGGUACCUAAUCAGAAAGCCACGGCUAACUACGUGC